CUGUCGGGUCAGGGCGGUUCGCGGGUGCUGUCAGAGCUGGGCCGGGGCCCCUAGGCAGGGUAGCCGGGUCGUAGAGGCGGGGGCCGGUCGCGGUCGGUGGAGCGGGAUGAGGAUGUAGGAGGGGCGGACGUGGCGGAAGCCGCGGGGUCCGCGGGGUCGGUGCCUCUAGGGAGCCAGGGAGGCCUUUCCCGAGGCUCCUGGGGAAGAAGAGGCGAAGCGAGAGUCCCUGGGGAACCCCCACUCCACUCCCAGCUGGAGACUGGGUUGUGUCUGCAUGGACCAGAGCCCACAGUGCGAGUUGCUAUAGGCAACCAGCCAGGGUGGCCAGCUCCUUCCCGUUUGCCCGUGAUGUUCUGGUUUUGGGACCAAAGCAUCCUAGGCCUCCAGCCCACUGCAGUGACCGAAUUCUGCGCCCCCUGCCCAUCUUCUCCCGCAGCUUCCCUAGAUUAGGCUUGGGAGGCAAGAGGAGGCCUCCUGACCUUUCACACUGCCUUUUUAAUAUUAAGAUGAAGUCACACUCCACAACUUUCUUCCAGCCAGGCCCAGACAUGUCCGUCCUUGUAAGUUAAAAGCUUCCAUGGGAGCCUUCCUUCCUAAUCAAGCCUCGUGGUGGAACAUCGGACCCAUUCAAGAGGAAGGAUGAAAGCUCUAUAUAGGAACACGAUGUGAAUGGAAGAAACCUGUCAUUAUGCAAAUAAUACGGCACUCCGAACAGACACUAAAAACAGCUCUCAUCUCAAAGAACCCAGUGCUUGUAUCACAGUAUGAGAAAUUAAAUGCUGGGGAACAACGUUUAAUGAAUGAAGCCUUCCAGCCAGCCAGUGAUCUCUUUGGACCCAUUACCUUGCAUUCUCCAUCAGAUUGGAUCACCUCCCACCCUGAGGCUCCCCAAGACUUUGAACAGUUCUUCAGUGAUCCUUACAGAAAGACACCCUCUCCAAACAAACGCAGCAUUUAUAUACAGUCCAUUGGCUCUCUAGGAAACACCAGAAUUAUCAGUGAAGAAUAUAUUAAAUGGCUCACGGGCUACUGUAAAGCAUAUUUCUAUGGCUUGAGAGUAAAACUCCUAGAACCAGUUCCUGUUUCUGUAACAAGAUGUUCCUUUAGAGUCAAUGAGAACACACACAACCUACAAAUUCAUGCAGGGGACAUCCUGAAGUUCUUGAAAAAGAAGAAACCUGAAGAUGCCUUCUGUGUUGUGGGAAUAACAAUGAUUGAUCUUUACCCAAGAGACUCGUGGAAUUUUGUCUUUGGACAGGCCUCUUUGACAGAUGGUAUUCCGUUUUUGGCAUUGUUGUUAGAAGCUUCUUCAGCUUGAGAAUAUUUGAAGAUGUUAGAAGAGGGAAAAAAUUCCAACCAAGAAUCAUAUUGAUAUUUAAAAUAUUUUCAGUUGAGACAUUAUGCCAUAAUGGGAAGUGUGCUGUUGGUAGAUUGUGAUAAUCUAGGUUCUGGUUGGCCACUCACUACCUACAGGACCUUAAAGGUAACAAUACCCACAUCAUGGAGUCAUUUGGAGAUAAUUUACAUAAAAGUGCCUGUACAUAAAAAGUGUGGAUAAGCCUGGACAACAUAGACCACAUGUCUACAAAAAAAUAAAAAUUUAAA
rnacentral:lncRNA from 1 species